AUUGAACGCUGGCGGCAGGCCUAACACAUGCAAGUCGAGCGGAGCGGCGGACGGGUGAGUAAUGCCUAGGAAUCUGCAUGGUAGUGGGGGAUAACGUUCGGAAACGGGCGCUAAAACCGCAUCCUAUCAGAUGAGCCGAGGUCGGAUUAGAGAGGUGGGGGGGUAAAGGCCUACCAAGGCGACGAUCCGUAACUGGUCUGAGAGGAUGAUCAGUCACACUGGGACUGAGACACGGCCCAGACUCCUACGGGAGGCAGCAGUGGGGAAUAUUGGACAAUGGGCGAAAGCCUGAUCCAGCCAUGCCGCGUGUCUGAAGAAGGUCUUCGGGUUGUAAAGCACUUUAAGUUGGGAGGCGUUACCUACAGAAUAAGCACCGGCUAACUUCGUGCCAGCAGCCGCGGUAAUUC
rnacentral:rRNA from 1 species